AGUGAACGCUGGCGGUAGGCCUAACACAUGCAAGUCGAACGGCAGCACAGUAAGAGCUCGCUCUUACGGGUGGCGACUGGCGGACGGGUGAGGAAUACAUCGGCAUCUACUUUUUCGUGGGGGACAACGUAGGGAAACUUACGCUAAUACCGCAUACGACCUACGGGUGAAAGCAGGGGAUCUUCGCACCUUGCGCGAUUCAAUGAGCCGAUGUCGGAUUAGCUAGUUGGCGGGGUAAAGGCCCACCAAGGCGACGAUCCGUAGCUGGUCUGAGAGGAUGAUCAGCCACACUGGAACUGAGACACGGUCCAGACUCCCACGGGAGGCAGCAGUGGGGAAUAUUGGACAAUGGGCGCAAGCCUGAUCCAGCCAUACCGCGUGAGUGAAGAAGGCCUUCGGGUUGUAAAGCCCUUUUGUUGGGAAAGAAAAGCAGCAGGAUAAUACCCCGCUGUUCUGACGGUACCCAAAGAAUAAGCACCGGCUAACUUCGUG
rnacentral:rRNA from 1 species